UGGGGGAUUUUGCACAAUGGGCGCAAGCCUGAUGCAGCGACGCCGCGUGAGGGAUGAAGGCCUUCGGGUUGUAAACCUCUUUCGUUGGGUUGAAAGGCCAUGCCUUGGGUGUGGUUGAUUUGAACUGGUAAAGAAGUACCGGCUAACUACGUGCCAGCAGCCGCGGUAAUACGUAGGGUACUAGCGUUGUCCGGAUUUAUUGGGCGUAACGGGCUUGUAGGUGGUUUGUCGCGUCUGUCGUGAAAUCCUGUGGCUUAACCAUGGGCUUGCGGUGGGUACGGGCAGGCUGGAGUCCGGUAGGGGAGACUGGAAUUCCUGUUGUAGCGGUGGAAGGCGCAGCUAUCAGGAGGAACACCGGUGUCGAAGGCGGGUCUCUGGGCCGUUACUGACACUGAGGAGCGAAAGCGUGGGGAGCGAACAGG
rnacentral:rRNA from 1 species